CAUUAUCAUCCCUGAAUCACAGAGCUUUACGACCCGAAGGCCUUCAUCGCUCACGCGGCGUUGCUGCAUCAGGCUUUCGCCCAUUGUGCAAUAUUCCCCACUGCUGCCUCCCGUAG
rnacentral:rRNA from 1 species